rnacentral:lncRNA from 1 species
AAUGUUGGCAAGAGGCGAUGAGAUAUUUGGUGCGCUUCCAAACAGGUUCUAGCGUUGAAACGACGGACGAUGACAAGAAGAGAAAGAGAAAGAGAAUCUCAAAUUCCAAGUACAGACCCCAGGCCUCUUCUGAUGAAGAGGAGUCUAGUCUUCCAGAUGCACCAGCAGUGCUGUCGUUUGGACAACCUCUUUUGAGCUUUGAAAACAUUGUUCCUGGUAACAAGGUUUCAGUGCUGCCCGAUGCUCCAGAAGUUGCAUCGAUUCCAGAAAACCAGGAAAAUGUUGUGCCAUCUGUAGACUUCAGAGGUGAACCAGGUUUCUCCCCAGAAAUUCAGACUCCACUUCACAGAGCCAAGAGUUUGAGUACAAGUAAGUGAUGUUAUUUGUGACGUUUUUUUGUCUUGGAAACUAUUGCUUCUAUUUAAGAUAAGGAAUCCUUUAAUCAUAAUCUGUUUUUCAUUCGGACACUUGACUGGUUACUCGCCGCAGCAGUUUCUGGAUGAAAGGUGUCGAGGUGUGUUGUACAUUCCAUUAGCAUUGCACAGUUCAAUUAUAGUUUCAUUACUGAAUAUGCAAUACUCUGCACUGAAGUUAAAGCUGUUAUGUUUGCUCUUCCAGCUCGUCAAGUACUAAGCUUUACACCCCCAGCAGCAAAUUUACCCUGGCAGCAUAUGGGUGAAAACGCUGGAGGAGAAAGUCAUUGCUCUGUAAUUGGCCCUUGGACUCCCCUGGCAUCUCGUGUACAGCAUGAAGUUUUCAGCUAUGAAGAUUUCCAGAGACUCCAGAAUGAAAAACAAGCCGUGAUGGAGGAGAACCAAGCCCUUAGGGAGGAGAACCAAGCUCUGAGGGAAAGCACUGCACGAGCAGCUUCGGAUGACAGCGGCUCACUUCAAGAGCAGGUGAAGCAAGUUGGGACAAUGUUGAAGACGUUUGCUCGCACUGGGCAAUCAGGUGCAGAUCAGACCUUAAUGCUGCGACGUCUUGGAGAGUUUGGCGUGAAGGCGGAAAAAGGCGCCGCACAGCUGAGAGGGACCCACAGCCGACCCCUUAAACCUAGGCUGUCUACUGACAUCCCAGCAUCACUGACAACUGGAACCCUUUCUUUAUCCUGCAGUCAGUAACAUCAAGACCCCUAAAGAAGCCAGAAGUGUCAGACUGCACCCCCCAAUCCACACUGUUCACUGUGGAUAUUAUCAUAGUGCUUAACUUAUUAUAUUGUUAAAUAUAGCUUGUAAAUCCUUGUGCCACAGGUCAGCAUUGCAGUUAUAUCUGUUCUACUACUUUUUUUACCUCAGUAUUUUUUAUAUAUAUUUGAAGAUGUUUAUCACAGAUACAAGAGACAUCUUGUACCCCAGGUCAGCAAUGCCAUUAUAAUGGUCUAUUCUACUCCAGAGCUUUAUUCUAAAUUAUUACCACUUAUCUUAUUGUUAGAAAUGGCUUGUAAAUGUGAUGUUAUACCUGAAUUUUUUUUGGUGUCCUGCACAUUCUUUGGUACCAGAUAUACUCAUUACUUAUGUUUACUGGUAAUUCUUUUCAUGCCAGAGCUGACCUCUUUAUAUUAUUAACAAUUAUUGUAAGUGUUAUAAUUUGCUUGUAAGCUAAGGCUGUUUUUUUUUUUUUUUUUACAAUUUAAUUGGAAACCUGCAUGUGUGUGUGUGUGUGUGUGUAUUUAUUUAUUUAUUUUUUCUCUUUUUUUCUGUUAUUUAUAUUUCAGGGAUCUGACAUCAUGUUUCAAUGACAGUUACUGUACUUUGAAAUGUGGAAUUAAAACGUCAAAUGGAAAUUUGUCUGGUUUGAUCAAUCAUUAUUCUUGAUAAACUGCAUAAUAUAUAUAUAUAUAAUAUAUAUAUAAAUAAAUAAAUAAGCAAGCGGCGACCGAUCGCUCGAAAAUAGCGUUUGCCUCCGACGGGCCGCGGAAGGGUCGCCUUUGAUAUAACGGCGGCGGGACGGCGGUUGGCCCGCGGGCCGGCCGCGGAACGAAGGCGGUAGGAAGGCGGCUGCCGCUUCUAAAAAGCGGCUGCCGCCGGCGGUGCACCGUCAAACGUGUUUGCGAUUACGCUAUUCUGACGCUUCUACUGCCGCCGGCGGUCCGCCGACUCAUUGCUAUCUGGGUUGCGCACCUGCUUUUAAAGGGAAUGUUGGAUGACGCUCUGAUUUGUUUAUUUCACGUUACGCCCAAACCACACCUAUGAAUAAUGAAGCUACUUCAGACCAACCCAUUUUAGAUUUGCGCCGGGCGCAAGAGCCAUUUAUCCCGCCGGGAAAAUAGCAACAGCGCCGAGACCCGCCCACAAAGUUACUUGCGCUUCGCGCUUUGACACUUGCGUUUCAGAUCGUUA